rnacentral:rRNA from 2 species
AAGUCUAAACGACUCUCGGCAACGGAUAUCUCGGCUCUCGCAUCGAUGAAGAACGUAGCGAAAUGCGAUACUUGGUGUGAAUUGCAGAAUCCCGUGAACCAUCGAGUCUUUGAACGCAAGUUGCGCCCGAGGCCUCGGCCGAGGGCACGUCUGCCUGGG